rnacentral:rRNA from 1 species
GAGUUUGAUUAUAACUCAAGAUUGAACGCUGGCGGGAUGCUUUACCAUGCAAGUCGAACGCUUGGCACACGGACUUCGGUCUGGUGGCGAGUGGCGAACGGGUGAGUAAUGUAUCGGAACGUGCCUAAUGUGGCGAGGAUAACUACGCGAAAGCGUGGCGCUAAUGCCACAUACCGCCCUUCGGGGAAAAGCGGGGGACCUUCCGGGCCUCGCACUAUUAGAGCGGCCGAUAUCGGAUUAUUAGUUGGUGGGGUAACGGCUCACCAAGGCGACGAUCCCGUAGCUGGUUUGAGAGAGGACGCCCAGCCACACUGGGACUGAGACACGGCCCAGACUCCUACGGGAGGCAGCAGUGGGGAAUUUUGGACAAUGGAAACCCUGAUCCAGCCAUCCCGCGUGUCCGAUGAAGACAUUCGGGUUGUAAAGCACUUUUGGCAGGAAAGAAACGGCACGGGAUAAUACCCCGUGCAACUGACGGUACACAGAAUAAGCACCGGCUAUGCUGCUACGUGCCAGCAGCCGCGGUAAUACGUAGGGUUGCAAGCGUUAAUCGGAAUUACUGGGCGUAAAGCGUGCGCAGGUUCGGAAAGAAAGAUGUGAAAUCCCAGAGCUUAACUUUGGAACUGCAUUUUUAACUACCGAGCUAGAGUGUGUCAGAGGAGGUGGAGGUUACGUCAACUUGUUGAUAAAAUGAAUAUGCGGAAGACCACCGAUGGCAGAGGCGCAACCUCCUGGGAUAACACUGACGCUCAUGCACGAAGAGUGGGGAGCAAACAGGAUUAGAUACCCUGGUAGUCCACCGCCCUAAACGAUGUCAACUAGCUGUUGGGGCCUUCGGGCCUUGGUAGCGCAGCUAACGCGUGAAGUUGACCGCCUGGGAGUACGGUCGCAAGAUUAAACUCAAAAGGAAUUGACGGGGACCCACUACAAGCGGUGGAUGAUGUGGAUUAAUUCGAUGCGGCGCGAAAACCUUACCUGCUGCCGACAUGUCUGGAAUCCCGAAGAGAUUUGGGAGUGCUCGCAAGAGAACCGGAACACGGGUGCUGCAUGGCGCAUUAUUGAAACCAGUGUCGUGAGAUGUUGAGUUAGAGUCCCGCAACGAGCGCAACCCUUGUCAUUAGUUGCUCUGAAGGGCACUCUCGUGAGACUGCCGGUGACAAACCGGAGGAAGGUGGGGAUGACGUCAAGUCCUCAUGGCCCUUAUGGGUAGGCUUCACACGUCAUACAAUGGUCGGGACGGGGGUCGCCAACCCGCGAGGGGGAGCCAAUCCCAGAAACCCGAUCGUAGUCGGGAUCGCGGUCACGACUCGACUGCGUGAAGUCAGAAUCGCGUAAUCGCGGGGAUCAGCAUCGUCGCGGUUGAACGUACGUUCAAGGUCUUGUACACGCAACAAUCCCACACCAUGGGUGGGGUUUUACCAGAAGUAGUUAGCCUAACCGUAAGGAGGCGAUUUCCACCACAGUAGGAUUCAUGACACAGAGUUGAAGUCAUAACCAAGGUAA